AUUGAACGCUGUCGGCAUGCCUUACACAUGCAAGUCGAACGGCAGCACGGGUGCUUGCACCUGGUGGCGAGUGGCGAACGGGUGAGUAAUACAUCGGAACGUACCUUAUCGUGGGGGAUAACGCAGCGAAAGCUGUGCUAAUACCGCAUACGCCCUGAGGGGGAAAGCGGGGGAUCGCAAGACCUCGCGCGAUUAGAGCGGCCGAUGCCUGAUUAGCUUGUUGGUGGGGUAAAAGCCCACCAAGGCGACGAUCAGUAGCUGGUCUGAGAGGACGAUCAGCCACACUGGGACUGAGACACGGCCCAGACUCCUACGGGAGGCAGCAGUGGGGAAUUUUGGACAAUGGGGGCAACCCUGAUCCAGCAAUGCCGCGUGAGUGAAGAAGGCCUUCGGGUUGUAAAGCUCUUUUGUCAGGGAAGAGACACCGGCUCUAACACAGUCCGGGAAUGACGGUACCUGAAGAAUAAGCACCGGCUAACUACGUGCCAGCAGCCGCCGUAA
rnacentral:rRNA from 1 species